UUUCACAAAUAACCAAAUACUUCAUCUCUUGGCACAUCAGCACCACGUUAUCAUCAGUAUCAGGACCUGGAAAAGAUUGUGCAAGAAACUGCGUUCAUUCCGAAGAGAGAACCACACGGACCUGAUAGGGGAAACUGACUCUUUUGUGGAGGUGGAAAUUAAUUUUUUUCUCAUAAACUUCUGACUUUAUUCUCGUAAUAUUACAACUUUUUUUGUCCUCAAUGUUGCCCUAAAACUCCGUCGUAUCGUCGCACCAUAGACCUACAACAAUGAUAGAUGAAAAAUGAAAAUGUAAACAAAAAACAGUUAUUGAUUUCCAUUUUUAAAAAUCCACAGGGAGACACUGGAGAUGAACUAAAGAACUGCAUGUGGCUCCGGAGCCGCGGGUUGCUGACCCCUGUUCUAGUACAAACCCAACAUACAAGUAUGAACCUGGAAAUAAGCCUGAUAUGUUCCCAAGUGUGAAAUGUGCACCAGGUAAAACAAAGUGCUAGUUGUGGAAUAUACUGACACAAAACAUUUUUUUUUUAUUUAUCUUAUAGGCCAGGGGUUCUCAACCGCUGGUAACUUGAGGCCCACUUCUGAUUGUUAAAACAUUUCCGAGGACCACCUUCCCAAUCAAAUGAGAAACUGGGAUAUAAAUAUGCCCCCGUCCGCUGUAAUGACCCACAUAAAUAUUCAGCUUACCCUCACCCAUCACUGCUUGCCAUUAUGAAUCCAAAGUAUUUAGGGUCAUAUUUCCUCACCACAUGCUUUGGAGCUUUAACUGGUGCACGGUUGUCUCCAAAACGACUUCUUCGUUU